UUUGAUCUGAAAUCAGGCGGGUACCCGCGA
rnacentral:rRNA from 1 species